CCCUGUCCAAGAGCCUGCACCAGCCGUGACAGACGGCUGGCUAGGCUCAUCAAGUUCAAGCUCCCAGCUCUUCUGCUCACCUGUUUCCAAGAUCCUCCUUCCCAAGCCUUGUCCUGUUCACUGGCCACUAUUCGGUCUCCUCACUCUUGGAAGCCCUCAGCCAGUCUCCCUGCUGUGAGUGUCCACAUGACUCAAUUCUGGCCAAUAAUUUGCCAAGGGACGCCUGUUAGAAUGCUAUCCAGAGCUACGGCAGCCGCCUUGUGACAAGUACAAGGACAAAGCCCUUCCAUGCAGCCCAUGCAAAGAAGGAAUACAGAUCCUGGGAGGCAGCAGUGAUGGCUCAAAUCCCUGGGUUCCUGCCACUCACACUUGGGAGAUUUGGAUUGAGUUCCCAGCUCCUUGCCCUGGCCCAAGCCCAUCCCCAGCCAUGGUACUCUGUCACUUCCUGUAGUAAAAUGAAGCAACUUCUUUUGAAGAUCGAGAGGAAAUCCAAGCACAACAUCCCAAAAGUAUCUACAGAGCACCAAGAGAGAUACACAUGAAAUACCUUGACAAAAAUCCUGCAGAGCUUAAUAAAGUAAAAACUUCCCUUAAACAUAUGGAAUACCCUUAAUGUAAAAUUAAGAAAUGAUGAUAUUCCAUAUUUGAAUUAGACCUCCGACUAACAUGUAAAAUAAAACUUUUAUAAAAUUAUGUUAGUACAACAGUAGAUAGUGUACAAGCUAUUUUUCUUCUAUAUAAUUUACAAAUCUUAUUUUGUCAACAUAGCACUAUUAAAAUAUUACACAUGGGGCUGACACCUUGGCAUAGUGGGUAAUGCUGCCGCCUGCAAUGCCAGCAUCCCAUAUGGACUCUGGUUCGAGUUUUGGCUGCUCCACUUCUGAUCCAGCUCUCUGUGAUGGCCUGGGAAAGCAGUGGAAGAUGGCCCAAGUCUUGGGCCCCUGAAUCCACGUGGGAGACCCAGAGGAAGCUUCUGGUUCCUGGCUUUGGAUCGGCUCAGCUCCGGCUGUUGAGGCCAUCUAGGGAGUGAACCAGUGAUGGAAUACCUCUCUCUCCGCCUCUGCCUCUCUGUAACACUGCC